rnacentral:rRNA from 1 species
GACGAACGCUGGCGGCGUGCUUAACACAUGCAAGUCGAACGGAAAGGCCCUGCUUUUGUUUGGUGCUCGAGUGGCGAACGGGUGAGUAACACGUGAGUAACCUGCCCUUGACUUUGGGAUAACUUCAGGAAACUGGGGCUAAUACCGGAUAGGAGCUCCUGCUGCAUGGUGGGGGUUGGAAAGGUUCGGCUGUUGGGGAUGGACUCUCGGCUUAUCAGCUUGUUGGUGGGGUAGUGGCUUACCAAGGCUUUGACGGGUAGCCGGCCUGAGAGGGUGACCGGCCACAUUGGGACUGAGAUACGGCCCAGACUCCUACGGGAGGCAGCAGUGGGGAAUAUUGCACAAUGGGCGGAAACCUGAUGCAGCAACGCCGCGUGCGGGAUGACGGCCUUCGGGUUGUAAACCGCUUUCGCCUGUGACGAAGCGUGAGUGACGGUAAUGGGUAAAGAAGCACCGGCUAACUACGUG